CCUACGGGAGGCAGCAGUCGGGAAUUUUGCGCAAUGGGCGAAAGCCUGACGCAGCAACGCCGCGUGAGGGAUGACGGCCUUCGGGUUGUAAACCUCUUUUGUCAGGGAAGAUGAUGACGGUACCUGGCGAAUAAGCCACGGCUAACUACGUGCCAGCAGCCGCGGUAAU
rnacentral:rRNA from 1 species